rnacentral:rRNA from 1 species
UUAAACUGAAGAGUUUGAUCCUGGCUCAGAUUGAACGCUGGCGGCAUGCCUUACACAUGCAAGUCGAACGGCAGCACGGAGCUUGCUCUGGUGGCGAGUGGCGAACGGGUGAGUAAUAUAUCGGAACGUACCCUGGAGUGGGGGAUAACGUAGCGAAAGUUACGCUAAUACCGCAUACGAUCUACGGAUGAAAGUGGGGGAUCGCAAGACCUCAUGCUCGUGGAGCGGCCGAUAUCUGAUUAGCUAGUUGGUAGGGUAAAAGCCUACCAAGGCAUCGAUCAGUAGCUG